GAAAGAUGAUGAAAGAAGGGCUAGCCUGAAAGAAACUUCUGCCUUCUUUGGAAAUGAGAUGCAAAAAGUAUGGCUCCCUGCUACAACAAAGAUGGAUCCCCCAAGGAGGACAUAACUGGAAUUGCUGUCAUUGUUACCCCUUUGGAAAUCUCAGCCAGCUAGAGGACCAGAGACAUUCUCAUCAAGAUUAAAGCCAGAGCAACCACCACCAACAAAUGAUGACAAAUCCCUGCCAGGAUUGGAGUGGGUUUGAACGGCAUAGCUGGCCCCUGGUACUCCU
rnacentral:lncRNA from 1 species